CGGGCAUAUUACGCUGAAACACCGAUUUCGUAUGAUCACCAAAGUUAAGCAACAUUGAACUUGAUCAGUACCUAGGUGGGUGACCGCUUGGGAAUAACAAAUACUG